GACAGAGGGUGCAAACGUUGCUCGGAAUUACUGGGCGUAAAGCGCGUGUAGGCGGUUCCGCAAGUCAGGUGUGAAAGCCCAGGGCUCAACCCUGGAAGUGCACUUGAUACUACGGAGCUUGAGUACUGAAGAGGAGAGCGGAAUUCCCGGUGUAGAGGUGAAAUUCGUAGAUAUCGGGAGGAACACCAGUGGCGAAGGCGGCUCUCUGGGCCGUAACUGACGCUGAGGAGCGAAAGCGUGGGGAGCGAACAGG
rnacentral:rRNA from 1 species